rnacentral:rRNA from 1 species
GACGAACGCUGGCGGCGUGCUUAACACAUGCAAGUCGAACGGUAAGGCCCCUUCGGGGGUACACGAGUGGCGAACGGGUGAGUAACACGUGAGCAACCUGCCCUUGACUCUGGAAUAACAGUUGGAAACAGCUGCUAAUACCGGGUAUGACCUGUCAUCGCAUGGUGAUGGGUGGAAAGUUCUGGCGGUCAGGGAUGGGCUCGCGGCCUAUCAGCUAGUUGGUGAGGUAAUGGCUCACCAAGGCUUCGACGGGUAGCCGGCCUGAGAGGGCGACCGGCCACACUGGGACUGAGAUACGGCCCAGACUCCUACGGGAGGCAGCAGUGGGGAAUAUUGCACAAUGGGCGCAAGCCUGAUGCAGCAACGCCGCGUGC